UACGUAGGCAGCAAGCGUUGUUCGGAGUUACUGGGCGUAAAGGGUGUGUAGGCGGUUGCUUAAGUUCGGUGUGAAAUCUCCCGGCUUAACUGGGAGGGUGCGCCGGAAACUGGAGUGCUCGAACGUGGGAGAGGAAAGCGGAAUUCCUGGUGUAGCGGUGAAAUGCGUAGAUAUCAGGAGGAACACCUGCGGUGUAGACGGCUUUCUGGACCAUUGUUGACGCUGAGACACGAAAGCGUGGGUAGCAAACAGG
rnacentral:rRNA from 1 species